UAAUUGAAGAGUUUGAUCAUGGCUCAGAUUGAACGCUGGCGGCAGGCCUAACACAUGCAAGUCGAGCGGUAACAGGGGAAGCUUGCUUCCCGCUGACGAGCGGCGGACGGGUGAGUAAUGUAUGGGGAUCUGCCCGAUAGAGGGGGAUAACUACUGGAAACGGUAGCUAAUACCGCAUAAUCUCUCAGGAGCAAAGCAGGGGAACUUCGGUCCUUGCGCUAUCGGAUGAACCCAUAUGGGAUUAGCUAGUAGGUGAGGUAAUGGCUCACCUAGGCGACGAUCCCUAGCUGGUCUGAGAGGAUGAUCAGCCACACUGGGACUGAGACACGGCCCAGACUCCUACGGGAGGCAGCAGUGGGGAAUAUUGCACAAUGGGCGCAAGCCUGAUGCAGCCAUGCCGCGUGUAUGAAGAAGGCCCUAGGGUUGUAAAGUACUUUCAGUCGGGAGGAAGGCG
rnacentral:rRNA from 1 species